rnacentral:lncRNA from 1 species
UAAAACAGUUAUCAUUAAUUGGGGACUGCCAACAGACACUAUUUUGUCAGAAUACAGCAUGAAUUGUCUAAAGAAGAAAAAAAAGUUUAAAGAGGUGACAAGUCUAUGUUACGCUGUCACUGAAGCUGCUUUAAAGUCAAAUAAAAACUUAAUCAAAAUGGAUACCAUCCAACUUAUUGGAAAAGUAAUUAGGCAUUCUUCUGACC